GAUGAAGAACGUAGCGAAAUGCGAUAAGUAGUGUGAAUUGCAGAAUUCAGUGAAUCAUCGAAUCUUUGAACGCACAUUGCGCCCUUUGGUAUUCCGGGGGGCAUGCCUGUCCGAGCGUCAUUACAACCCUCAAGCUCAGCUUGGUGUUGGGCCCCGCCGCCCCGGCGGGCCCUAAAGUCAGUGGCGGUGCCGUCCGGCUCCGAGCGUAGUAAUUCUUCUCGCUCUGGAGGUCCGGUCGUGUGCUCGCCAGCAACCCCCAAUUUUUUUCAGGUUGACCUCGGAUCAGGUAGGGAUACCCGCUGAACUUAAGCAUAUCAAUAAGCGGAGGA
rnacentral:misc_RNA from 1 species